rnacentral:rRNA from 1 species
AUGGCUCCCCAUGCUCCGACGAAGACAGCGGCCGCCUCGGCCUCUCUGGCACCUCCUGCUGCCGCCGGCCACGCUCCGACGACGGAGGCCGCCCCGGCCUCGCUGGAUCCUCCAGCUGCUGGGAUGCCUCGUGCUGCCGGCGCCGUCCCCGCCCCCGCCCGUCUGCCACAGCCAUCUUCGCACGGCCUGGCCGCGUCCUCCCUCGCCUCCCGCAAGGCCGACCUGACCGCGCGAGGACGGGUGGGCUCGCCCCUGCUGCCGUCCACGCGGAGGUCACCAACGCCUACCACGCCACCCGCUGUUGCGGUUGGAGGCGACGGUCACGUCUCCGACAUGCGGGCUGGGAGGCUGUCGGUUGUUUCAAGCUCUUCUGACAGUUUGGGCAUGGUGCGGCCUUCGUGGAGCUCCCUCGACAAGGAUGCCGAUGACCACGUCGAAGAUGGCGUUGAGCUUGCCCCGCAGACACCACGGGCUCCCAAGUGCUCUAGCGAGGUGAGCGCGCUGCCGAACUGGGCUGCUCCGACUACUCCAGCCUCGUCCGCUGCUGCUCUGGCUGCCGUUGCCCUCGCCUCCCGGAAGGCCGACCCGGCCAUUGGUGGCUGUAGGACUUGCGCUCAUCGCCUCCCAUGGACUGUGGCAGUGACCAAUCAGGCAUCCCUGCCCGCCAUUCCUGACGAGAUGACGCCAGAGAAGUUGGAGUCUCCUCUGUUUGUUCCAUCUUCAGUGUCUGCUUGCAAGGGCCUCUCUGCCGCCGCUGCCACUCUUGAAGAUGAGGCGGGCUGGGAGCAUGUUGGUCGGGGGCGCCGAUCCGACGGAGGCACUCCCCUCGAGCCGUUGCGGGAAGGGCUCGAGCGUAGCCUCGCCUUCAAGCAUUGGGCUCGAGGAAGAUGCUACCGUUGCCUUGUGCGUGGCCACCAAGUGAGUGCAUGCCAUGGACCAUUCAGAUGCAUUCGUUGUCGUCGCCCUGGUCAUAGGGAGAGAUUAUGUUGUGCUCGCUCUCCGGUUGCUCCAGAUCGCUCUCCGGUUGCUCGAGAUUGCUCUCCAGUCGCUCGCGUUGGCUCUUCGGUCACUCGCGCUCCAUGCCAGCCGAGCCGCUCCCCGUCCGUCCAGGCUUGUACUUCGCUGACUAGGAGUUGGGCAGAGGUCGUGGGCCGUUCGUCGUUGCGUGUGUCGGUGCCGCCAAGGUCCCAAUCUGGGUGUUGUAAGGAUUCCAAUGUCAGUGUCUUUUUGGACUCUACUUUUGAAUCCCAGCUUGCCUUGCUUCGUACGGAGCUCCUUCAAAAGAUUGAGUUGUUUCGCACUGAGCUUCACGACGCACUUGCCAAACUUGAGGUUGUGUCGGUUGUGCCUUUGUUGCCUGAGCUCCCGAUUGGUUCCAUUGAGGAGGCUGAAUGCCUCUUCGGAGAUUUUUCUCCUCAUGCUCUACAUGUGACGCCGUCUUCCCCGGUGAGUGGGGUCACCUCCGAGGUUGUGGCUCCAGUUAUGCAGAUUAUGCCUGAGUUGCAGGAGCUUUGUGGGGAAUCAUCUAUGGUGUUACCGAUGGAGCUGGGCUCAUUGGAGUCCUUGGUGGUGGCCAUGACACCCUCGCUACCUCAGUCGCCCGCCUUUGCGAACAAUGGAGACUUGGUUGGUUCUAUCACUGCCUCAUCUAUGGCCAUUGGGCAUGUGGCGUCUUUGAGUGGAGAGGUUGAUGAGACAUGUGUGUUGGCACCUAACUCUGAGCAAGUGGAGACGCCUGAGUCCAUCGUGUCAGUGAUACCUAUGACUGAUGAUGUUGAGGCGGUUGGUACAUUGGCGCCCGAUCCUUCUGAGCCCAACCAACAGCUCGCCCGUGUGGAGCGUGGAGGCUCCGAUGUUGCGGGCACCCACUCGCACGUGAUUGUUGGGCAGGUUUCUAUGCGUGACAAGGUCAAUGAGAUUCUUUUUCAGAUAGAGCUUCACAGCUUGCUCAAACGUUUGGAGAGGAUGAGCCCUGGAUCUGGCAAGGCGAUUGUGGAGGAGGCUCUCACGAGCAAAGGAAAGAAGAGUGGCGUCAUAGAAAAGGCGUCCGCAACUACUUGA